UCGGGAAAAUUUUGCAAUACACGCAAGUGUGACAGAGCAAGCCGAAGUGCUGUUCUUUUUUUGAACAGCUUUUGUGAGAUGUAAAAAGUCUUACGAAUAAGGACCGGGCAAGACUGGUGCCAGCCGCCGCGGUAAUCCCAGCGGUCCAAGUCGCAGCCACAUUUGUUGGGUCUAAAACAUCCGUAGCUUGCUUUUCAAGUCUUUUGUGAAAUCGGGACUCUUAAGGUUCCGGCCUGCAUUAGAUACUGUAAAGCUACGAGACCGGGAGGCGUAAGAAGUACGUACGGGGUAGCGGUAAAAUGCGUUGAUCCUAUAUGGACUAACAGUCGCGAAGGCGUCUUACGAGAACGGUUCUGACAGUGAGGGAUGAAGGCUAGGGGCGCAAAUUGG
rnacentral:rRNA from 1 species